AGUGGCGCACGGGUGCGUAACACGUGGCUCAUCUACCCCAGAGACGGGGAUAACGUUCGGAAACGAACGCUAAUACCCGAUAAGCUCACAAGCUGUAGAGGCUCGUGAGAAAAGCGUAACGCUUUGGGAUGAGGCUGCGGUCCAUCAGCUAGUUGGUGUGGUAAUGGCACACCAAGGCGACGACGGAUAGGGGACCUGAGAGGGUGAACCCCCACACUGGCACUGAGAUACGGGCCAGACUCCUACGGGAGGCAGCAGUGAGGAAUAUUGCACAAUGGGCGCAAGCCUGAUGCAGCGACGCCGCGUGAGCGAUGAAGGCCUUCGGGUCGUAAAGCUCUUUUCUGUGUGACGAGGCAAGGACGGUAGCACAGGAAUAAGUCUCGGCUAACUACGUGCCAGUAGCCGCGGUAAAACGUAGGAGGCAAGCGUUAUCCGGAGUUACUGGGCGUAAAGCGCGUGUAGGCGGUCAGGAAGGUCGGAUGUGGAAGCUCCCAGGCUAAACCGGGAGAGGUCAUUCGAAACCACCCGACUAGUGUGUGGCAGAGGGGUACGGAAUUCCGGGUGUAGUGGUGAAAUGCGCAGAUAUCCGGAGGAACACCAGAGGCGAAGGCGGUACCCUGGGCCAUUAUAGACGCUGAGACGCGAAAGCAUGGGGAGCGAACGGGAUUAGAGACCCCGGUAGUCCAUGCCGUAAACGAUGCACACUGAACGUCC
rnacentral:rRNA from 1 species